CAGAAAAUUCUGUAUGAGGGAACAUGUCCCUUGGGCUGAAGAAGGUUUCCCUAUCCUGGAAUGUAUGGCAUCUUUGUAAUAGCUCCUUUAUUUACACAUUUAUUUGUUUGUUUCAAUGAUUUAUAUACUACUUAAUUGCAGAACAAUGGCAGAUAAAAUUAAUAGACUACGCAGAAUUAGAUAAAAUGACAGGAAGGAUUCGAAACCUGCGGGACCAGAGAUUCACAGAAGAUUGGAGGAACUAUAUGAACUAUUUGAAGAGCAACUGUAAUCAACAAAUUACGCUAGUAGGACUACAAGAAGUUUUGUAAGGAGAAAUAUAUGAAACAUUGCAAAGUAGAGAAAGAAUAGAGAUAUUAAUUAUGAGAUUUAAAUGUAAUAGUGAAAGUAAGAAAUGUAAAUUAAGGGAAUAGAUUGGAAAAUUUUCAGAUGUGAUUGAUGGAAGUCAAAAAACUGUAUAAUAUAUAAAAGUAUGUUUAAUUAUUGUUGAAAAUGAUAUGUUAAAAACUAAUAAAAUUUAUUUUUUUAAAAAAAAUAUACUGCUUAAUUGCAAUAGGCUCUAAGUGUAGAGGUAAUGAUUGGUGGAAGCAAGCAACAGGCAUCUUCCAUAAGGCAGCAACAUAUACCCCGUUUCCUUAGCCUUGAGUAGGGAUUCUUUAGGAAUUUGAUUUCUGCAGCUUCCACACAGAAACUGCCAGAUCCCAUCUCCCUUUGCCAAGCCUCAGAUUUUGUUGUCUGCCACUGUCAGACAGCUGGGUGAGCUAAUGAGUUCCUUUUGCAAUGAGGGUGGUCCACAUUAAGCAAAUUGAAUUGUUCCUGGUGGCUUGUGAGCCAAAAACUGGUCCAAGUAGAUUGACACUCUUCCUGCUCUGCAUGAACAGAGGCAGCUCAGCAAAUGCAAUGUAAUGUUUGUCUUCGCCAUCAGAACAGACUUAUCGGCUCAGGACAGGGAUGGGGAACCUCUGGUGUAAGUAGACUUGGCACAGGUUUCCAUUUGGCCCACAAGGUUGUGUGUCCCCCCAAUCAUGCCUACCCACCUCACACCUGGGCUGGAUAUAGACAUGUCAAAGAAGCGAUCCAGCUAAACGCAUUGCAAACUCAUACAGGGAAAUCUGGUAGGCAAAAGAUGGGACUCUACCGCGCCACCUGUGUCACAGUGUUAUAUCGCAUAUGUUGUUGUUGUUGUUUAGUCAUUUAGUCAUGUCCAACUCUUCAUGACCCCAUGGACCAGAGAACGCCAGGCACUCCUGUCUUCCACUGCCUCCCACAGUUUGGUCAAACUCAUACUGGUAGCUUCCAGAACACUGCCCAACCAUCUCUUUUUUUAAAAAAAAUAAUUUUUAUUAACCGACCAAUCAAAUCAAAUCAAAUCACAUCACAUAAAUUCCGAAUUACAAAGCCGAAUUUUAAUUUUUUUGUUGGGAGACCCAUAUUUCAAGAUCUGAAGGGGAUUCCAAUCAUCUUCUUGCUGCUGCAUUAAUAUCCACAAAUCUGUUCAAAUAAUGUUCAUAAUUCUAUCCAGUCCUAUCUUGCUGUUCCCACAUCUCAUCUUAUUCAUAUAUUUUUCUUUUUUCUUUGUGAUCUCUUCUGAUAAUUUCCUUAAGCGGGUAAACACCAGUUAUAAUCCUGUGUGAAUUUUUCCGUUCGUCCAAUCACCAUAUCGAGAUGGUUUCCAUGUAUCAUCACUUCCAUAAAUAAAAGCAGUUUUUCCAUCAUUAAUCUUCGCAAAUCUGUCGCCUUCUUUGGUCCCUCUGAGGAGGCUCGCCCACAAUAAAAACAGAUCUGUUCCUCCUCCCAGACAUAAGUCUUUCGACAGAACUUGCCAAAAUGGCGACGCUAUUUUUUACUGCGUCAUCCCAAAGCUCUUAUACUUUCCACAAUCUCCUUAAAACAUGCUUUUGGUUAGAAAAUUAUCUCCACACAGUCUUAAAUCAUCAGCUUAGGUCAUUUAAGCUGCAUUUCUGACUUGUGGGGGGGAGGGUUCUUAGUUAAUCACAUAAAGAAAAGAAAGGAAAGUCCCCCCCCCAUCCAGUCCCGUUGUUGACAUACCGAGCCUUGGUGUGUCUUCUCAUGAUAUAUUCCUGUUUAUCCGACCCGUCUUCUUUCUCAGAGAUCUCUUCAAUUAGCAGUCUUUACUCCCCAUUCUUCCUUGAAAUAUGUGCAUUAGCUUCCUUCUAAUUGUUUCUUUUGAAGUUGCUGCAGCUAGAGGCGAGAAUCAGAGACAGCGUCCAGAAGAUCCGAAGUCCACGCAAGGGCUUUCUGCCUAGUGCCCCCACCCCCUCAAAUUCGGGGGUGGUAUAGGGCACAGCAAGCAAGGGCAGUCCCCCCCACUCGCUUGGGGGGGUCGGAAGGCUGCUUACUCCCAUCACAGCCUCUUAAUUACCUCGUGUUGGGUCGGCGAGAUGUUAUUGUCAGCCAUCUUCCAAUGCGCCCCUAGUGGGCCCGCCCCCACUGCCCAACCAUCUCAUCCUCUGUCGUCCCCUUCUUCUUGCGCCCUCAAUCUUUCCCAACAUCAGGGUCUUUUCCAGGGAGUCUUCUCUUCUCAUGAGGUGGCCAAAGUAUUGGAGCCUCAGCUUCACAAUCUGUCCUUCCAGUGAGGACUCAGGGCUGAUUUCCUUAAGAAUGGAGAGGUUUGAUCUUCUUGCAGUCCAUGGUACUCUCAAGAGUCUCCACCAGCACCAUAAUUCAAAAGCAUCAAUUCUUCGGCGAUCAGCCUUCUUUAUGGUCCAGCUCUCACUUCCAUACAUCACGACUGGGAAAAAUGUAGCUUUAACUAUACGGACCUUUGUUGGCAUAUACAACACAUAUAAAAUAUUUUUUCUUUACCAGUCUAGCUGAGUCCCUGAUGUGAUGUUGAGGUGUGGGGUAGCUAAGGGCGUGGCUCCAAAGGAACACACAGAGCUUAAGGAGAGCUCCUGAUCCUUUGAAAGCAAGUCCCAGUGGUAUUGGCUGCACCAGGGUGUUCCCUAUCAAGUUCUAGUUUCACCUGCAAAUGAGCCUGUUUCCUCUUCAGCUGCUUGCAGGUGUGGCUUGACUCUAAACCAUGCCUGCAAAAAGACUUCAAAGCAGUUUGCUAUAACUGCUUAUCAGAUGGUUGGUGGUUACAGCAAGCCCCUUUAGAGUUGCCAUCUGAUCAGGCGCACCAACUCCAUGGGGCUGAGGUCUUUACAGCCCCCACAUAGCCACUGAGGGGGCUCAUCCUCCCCCCCCCCAUCAUGAGGAGACAGAUGAGGACUGGCAGGAUGUUGCCCCAGGUCACUCAGUGUUAGGAGACACUGUGUGGACCAGUGCAGACUAGCGAUUGAAUGUCACAUCGAGAGGAUGUUUGUGGAUCAUCUGAGACAAUAUUACAGUCAACUGAAAUAGCAGACAGGACUGGGAAUAUAAGCAAAGGAAUGACAAUGAUAAAGGAAUGUAAUGCAGAAUAUACCUGCAUGUUAUGGAAGUAAGUAUUACAUUCAAGGCAGUAGACAAAGGAUUUGAAUAGAAACAUCAUGGAAGGAAGGGAGGGAAUUCUGAGAAGACAGAUUCAUGGAUAAUAAAGGAUAAUUAGAAAAGGAUGCUGUGAUUAUUAAAACUCAUCAUGGUUUUCUCAAAAACAAGUCAUGCCAGACCAAUCACAUGUCUUUUUUUGAUAGAGUUAGAAGCUUGGCAUACAAGGGGGAUUAGUAGUAGUAGUAGUAGUAGUAGUAGUAGUAGUUAGUAGUAUAUGAAUUUAUAUACUGCCCUGGGAAUUUAUAUACCCAAAGGUCUCAGGGGGGUUCACGGAAUAAAAUCAAAAUCUAAAACCACAAAAUAAAUUAUCAAAAUAAAAGCAACAACCCAAUAAUCCCCCCCAAAAAACCCACAUUUUAAAAGGGCAUAGUCAACCAAAGGCAUGGUUAAAAAGGAAUGUUUUUGCCUGGCACCUAAAGGUGCAUAAUGAAGAGAGAGCAUCCCAUAGACUGCAGAGAAGGCCCUGCUCUCAUGUUGCCACUCUCCAGACCUCUUGAGGAGGAGGCACACAAAGAAGGGCUUCAGAAGAUGAUCUCAGAGUCUGGGUAGGUUCAUAUGGAAAGAGGUGGUCCUUGAGGUAUUGUGGUCCUGAGCCAUUUAAGGCUUUAUAGGUCAAAACCAGCACUUUGAAUUGGGCCUGGAAACUAAUUAGUAGCCAGUGCAGUUGGACCAGGAUAUGUAAUAUGUUCAAACCAUCUUGCUUCAGUGAGCAACCCGGAUGCUGAAUUCUGCACUACCAGAAGUUUCUGAACCAUCUUCAGAGGCAGCCUUAUGUAUAAUGCAUUGCACAAAUCUAACCUUGAGAUUACCAGAGCAUAGACAACAGUAGUUAGGCUAUCUCUGUCCAGAUAGGGGCAUAGCUGGGCCACCAGCCAAAGCUGAUGGAAGGCACUCCAGGCCACUGAGGCCAUCUGAGCCUCGAGUGACAGCAAAGGAUUCAGGAGUACCCCCAAGCUAUGUAUCUGCUCCUUCAGAGGAAGUGUAACCCCACCAAGAGCAGGGGAUUUCCCACCCAUCCAGUCUAGGGAACUACCCACUAACAGUGCCUCGGUCUUAUCUGGAUUGAGUUUCAGUUUGUUGGGUCUCAUCCAUUCCAUUACCAAGGCUAGACACUGGUCCAGCAUUUCCACUGCCUCACCUGCAGAUGUAACAGAGAAAUAGAGCUGAGUGUCGUCAGUAUACUGUUGACAACGUACUCCAAACCUCCAGAUAACCCCACACAGCAGUUUCAUGUGGAUGUUAAACAAUGUAGAGGAUACGAUUGAGCCCUGAGGAAUCCCACAAUGAAGGUUCUAUGGGGCUGAAAAGCAUUCCCCAAGCAGCACUCUCUGGGAAUGACCAUCCAAGUAUGACUGGAACCCAAACAAGGCCUGAACCCCAAUUGAAAUGGAUCCAGAAAAUCAGUUUCUUCCAAAAGCACCUGGAUCUCGUCUGCGACCACUUGCUCCAGAACCUUGCUCGGGAAAGGUAGAUUAGCAACUGGCCGGUAGUUAGUUAGGUUUUCUGAAUCCAGGGAAAGUUUCUAUUUUCUUUUUAAUUAAAUUUUAUUUAAGAUUUGACAAUAACAAUAAAUCAACAAUAACUAAUACAUUAUUCACUGUUUGCUGCAGUUGACCAUCUUUAACAAUAGUUAACAAACUACAAAACAUUGCUUCGAAUUAGUCAACUUUUCAUUUUUAACUUUGUCUCUUAGCAGAUCAGAAAGAAAAGAGACUAAAAGGGAAAAGUGAGAAGAG